rnacentral:rRNA from 1 species
CAAUAGCGUAUAUUAAAGUUGUUGCAGUUAAAAAGCUCGUAGUUGGAUUUCUGGUUGGAGCGACCGGUCGGGCAUUGAUUUGUCUGCACUGGAGUCGGUUCUGGCCAUCCUCUUGGAAAGUGCGUCUGUCAUUAAGUUGUCGGGCGUAUGAUCCAGGUCUUUUACUGUGAAAAAAUUAGAGUGUUUAAAGCAGGCCUUCGCCUUGAAUACAUUAGCAUGGAAUAAUAAGAUAGGACUUUGGUCUAUUUUGUUGGUUUGCAGACCGAAGUAAUGAUUAAUAGGGAUAGUUGGGGGUAUUUAUAUUCCAAUGUCGGAGGUGAAAUUCUUAGAUUUUUGGAAGAUAAACUUAUGCGAAAGCAUUUACCAAGGAUGUUUUCAUUAA